GGGUGAGUAACACGUGGAUAACCUACCUAUAAGACUGGGAUAACUUCGGGAAACCGGAGCUAAUACCGGAUAAUAUUUUGAACCGCAUGGUUCAAAAGUGAAAGACGGUCCUGCUGUCACUUAUAGAUGGAUCCGCGCUGCAUUAGCUAGUUGGUAAGGUAACGGCUUACCAAGGCAACGAUGCAUAGCCGACCUGAGAGGGUGAUCGGCCACACUGGAACUGAGACACGGUCCAG
rnacentral:rRNA from 1 species